AAAAUAUAAAAUCAGUGAAACAAAAUUUGGAAAAAUAAAAAUCAGAUGAAGAAAAAUAAAAGAGAAUUUUAGAAAUUAUUUUGGGAUUUUUUGGAUGAAAAAUGGAAUUACUAUGAAUUUUAAAAGAAAAAGCAAUUAAAUAAUAAAAGAAAAAGAAUUUAAGUCAGAAAAAACACGGAGCGUUGGAUCACGCCUCAUUAAUUGACGUCGCAGAUCCAACACUCCAUAUAUUAGAGAACACGA
rnacentral:lncRNA from 1 species